UUUGAUCCUGGCUCAGGACGAACGCUGGCGGCGUGCCUAAUACAUGCAAGUCGAGCGGACUGAUGUGGAGCUUGCUCCAUGGAUGUCAGCGGCGGACGGGUGAGUAACACGUGGGUAACCUGCCUGGCAGACUGGGAUAACGCUUGGAAACGAGUGCUAAUACCGGAUGAUCUCUUGGACUGCAUGGUUCGAGAGUAAAAGGAGCUUUUGCUUCACUGCCAGAUGGACCCGCGGCGCAUUAGCUAGUUGGUGAGGUAACGGCUCACCAAGGCGACGAUGCGUAGCCGACCUGAGAGGGUGACCGGCCACACUGGGACUGAGACACGGCCCAGACUCCUACGGGAGGCAGCAGUAGGGAAUCUUCCGCAAUGGGCGCAAGCCU
rnacentral:rRNA from 1 species